rnacentral:rRNA from 1 species
GACGAACGCUGGCGGCGUGCCUAAUACAUGCAAGUCGAGCGAAGUUUUUCUGGUGCUUGCACCGGAAAAACUUAGCGGCGAACGGGUGAGUAACACGUAAAGAACCUGCCUCAUAGACUGGGACAACUAUUGGAAACGAUAGCUAAUACCGGAUAACAGCAUUAACUGCAGGGUUGAUGUUUAAAAGUUGGUUUUGCUAACACUAUGAGAUGGCUUUGCGGUGCAUUAGCUAGUUGGUGGGGUAAAGGCCUACCAAGGCGACGAUGCAUAGCCGACCUGAGAGGGUGAUCGGCCACACUGGGACUGAGACACGGCCCAGACUCCUACGGGAGGCAGCAGUAGGGAAUCUUCCGCAAUGGGCGAAAGCCUGACGGAGCAACGCCGCGUGAGUGAAGAAGGAUUUCGGUUCGUAAAGCUCUGUUGUUAGGGAAGAAUGAUUGUGUAGUAACUAUACACAGUAGAGACGGUACCUAACCAGAAAGCCACGGCUAACUACGUG